GAUGAACGCUGGCGGCGUGCCUAAUACAUGCAAGUCGAGCGAACAGACGAGGAGCUUGCUCCUCUGACGUUAGCGGCGGACGGGUGAGUAACACGUGGAUAACCUACCUAUAAGACUGGGAUAACUUCGGGAAACCGGAGCUAAUACCGGAUAAUAUAUUGAACCGCAUGGUUCAAUAGUGAAAGACGGUUUUGCUGUCACUUAUAGAUGGAUCCGCGCCGCAUUAGCUAGUUGGUAAGGUAACGGCUUACCAAGGCAACGAUGCGUAGCCGACCUGAGAGGGUGAUCGGCCACACUGGAACUGAGACACGGUCCAGACUCCUACGGGAGGCAGCAGUAGGGAAUCUUCCGCAAUGGGCGAAAGCUUGACGGAGCAACGCCGCGUGAGUGAUGAAGGUCUUCUGAUCGUAAAACUCUGUUAUUAGGGAAGAACAAAUGUGUAAGUAACUAUGCACGUCUUGACGGUACCUAAUCAGAAAGCCACGACUAACUACGUG
rnacentral:rRNA from 1 species